rnacentral:misc_RNA from 1 species
CUGAAAUAUAAAUAUGUAGUAUAUAAACCUGUAGUAUUAAUACCAAGAAACUUUAAAUAAAUAUAGCUAAAAUUAUUGAAAUGUAAAAAAAAAAAAGAAAACAAUAUAAAAUUCUUCCAAGCCACAUUACGUGUUACAAUUAUCGGUCUGCAGUUUCCUUAUAAAUCGUCGUUUCUCAAGGAUGUUUACGUCCACAUUGAACGAGUUAACCUAACAACCGGUUUAGUAAUUCUUAUCUUGUGAUAUAAAUAUAAAUGCCAAAAAAAAUUAUUUCUUUCAAUUUUGUGAUGACAACAUAUAAAACAACCAAAUGCCUUUUAAAUCCGUUCUAAUCUUAAUUAGUUUCAUUUUUCAUAUAAUGUUU